GGAGGGUGCAAGCGUUAUCCGGAUUCACUGGGUUUAAAGGGUGCGUAGGUGGGCUAGUAAGUCCGUGGUGAAAUCCCCGAGCUUAACUUGGGAACUGCCAUUGAUACUAUUAGUCUUGAAUAUCGUGGAGGUAAGCGGAAUAUGUCAUGUAGCGGUGAAAUGCUUAGAUAUGACAUAGAACACCAAUUGCGAAGGCAGCUUACUACACGAUCAUUGACACUGAGGCACGAAAGCGUUGGGGAGCAAACAGGAUUAGAUACCCUGGUAGUCCACGCCCUAAACUAUGGAUACUCGACAUCAGCGAUUACACAGUUGGUGUUGAGCGAAAGCAUUAAGUAUCCCACCUGGGAAGUACGAUCGCAAGAUUG
rnacentral:rRNA from 1 species